UACGUAGGGGGCGAGCGUUGUCCGGAUUUAUUGGGCGUAAAGAGCUCGUAGGUGGUUUGGUAAGUCGGAUGUGAAAUCUCCAGGCUCAACCUGGAGGGGUCAUUCGAUACUGCCAUGACUAGAGUUCGGUAGGGGAGUGUGGAAUUCCUGGUGGAGCGGUGAAAUGCGCAGAGUAUCAGGAGGAACACCGAUGGCGAAGGCAGGUCUCUGGGCAUUAACUGACGCUGAGGAGCGAAAGCAUGGGGAGCGAACAGG
rnacentral:rRNA from 1 species